GACAGAGGGGGCAAGCGUUGCUCGGAAUUAUUGGGCGUAAAGCGCGCGUAGGCGGCCGCUUAAGUCGGAUGUGAAAGCCCCUGGCUCAACUGGGGAAGUGCACCCGAAACUGAGUGGCUUGAGUACUAAAGAGGGUCGCGGAAUUCCCGGUGUAGAGGUGAAAUUCGUAGAUAUCGGGAGGAACACCGGUGGCGAAGGCGGCGACCUGGGUAGAUACUGACGCUGAGGCGCGAAAGCGUGGGGAGCAAACAGG
rnacentral:rRNA from 1 species